CUCUCUCUCUCUCUCUCUCUCUCUCUCUCUCUCUCUCUCUCUCUCUCUCUCUCUCUCUCUCUCUCUCUCUCUCUCUGUCACUCUCUCUCUCUCUCUCUCUCUCUCUCUCUCUCUCUCUCUCUCUCUCUCUCUCUCUCUCUCUCUCUCUCUCUCUCUCUGUCUCUCUCUCUCUCUCGUUCUCUCUCUACCUCUGCCUUCCGUUGUCGUUGUCAAACUCUCUUUUCCAGAGCAACUAGCAAGAGAACUAGUUUCAAGAGCAGGUGGAUUUGUCAACAAUUACGAGAACAUCAUAGAGUCCUUCAUUGAGAAUCACCGGCGUGGUGCACCGACUGUUAACAACGUUUCUGGCCAGCUUCAUUACAUCAACAAGAAGAUAGACUUGACGUGUGAGCAGCUACUGGAGAUUUUGGCUGAGUUCCUCAAGGGAGCUGCUCUGCAGGGUGUGGCGAAAAUUAUUGCACGCACAGAGUUCUCAAGCUAGUGACCAGCGUCAGCUGACACGCGGCACCCCUUGUAACCUCUACAGGAGUGCAGCGUUCAAGGUUUUUCGGCUGGCCUCUAACUAAGCGCCGGUCCACUCGUAAUAGUCUCUCACUUCCCCGUGCUAAUUCGCCGCAUUUACCAACUCUCCUCUGUUUUUGUCCUACAGCUGUUGGCUUCAACUUCCCCAGCAUGUUAAGACAUCAAAAUGUCUUUCCAGCUUUAAAAAUGCACUCCGAUCGCAUAAUGUAGUACGAUAGUACAAUAGGAUCUCCUUGCUGGAUUCUUGUCCAUCCUUCCCUCUUCUCUUUUUCUUUAUUCUUUUCUUUUCUUGCUGUGGUUGGCUAUCACCCCUCUCUCGCACUUUGCGUGCCAAUUGGUCAAAACUAAUAAAAAGCGUGUGCGUCA